GAGGAUCUGCAAAAACGAAUAUUCACUACAUUAGUUUUACAAGCACAAUAUUAGAACAUAAACAAUAAACUAAUGACUCCAUCUUUAUCUUGACGCCGUUCUUGUGCAAUACUCAAAACUAGUGACUCCGAUUAUGCCAGCCUCCUCUCCGCUCGGUUGAACUCCCUUCAACGCUGAAUCCCUUCAGUCGGCAGAUCGAUCUCCUCCCGAGAUCUUUUUAAGCCCCUCUCCUGAAG
rnacentral:lncRNA from 1 species